UUCCUCCUUGUUUGAUACCAGGUUUCAAAUUCGUAUGAGGUUGUUUCUUCUUGAAAUAGUGUGGUGUAUAAUAUUCAUUGAGUUAUUAUUAUUUUAUGAAAAUUUUCAUGUUCUUUGAAACUUAUCAUGUCUUAUGAAAUCGUUUCAGUCCUCAGUCUUAGGGGCUGUUUGGUUGCCUCUUAAUGGCUCCAUUAAGAAGCUUGGCCUCUGAAUCGGUCAGACAUGGGGUGUUUGGUUCACCAAAUAACAACCUCUGAAUGAAACCAUUCAGAUCUGAAUGGUUCAACACUUUCCAACAUCUGAAUGGAACAUUGGACUUGUAUACCCUUCCCAAGAAAACAAUCUGCCACUCCCCCCUUUCUCUCCACAGCCGCCCCCUCCACAACCGCCUCCUCCACAGCCGCCCCCUUUCUUCUCCAGCGGCGAUGUUUGGUGUUUUCCGGCGAAAAGUCGUUAGCGGAAGCUCUUCUGCUUCGCCAUUCACGUUAUUGAUGAUAAUGACGAUGAAGAUGAAGAUGAAAGUGGAGAAAUAUAAUGGAGUCUGGAGUUGCAGAGCUAUACGAAUUUUGUUUUGAUUGUUGAUUCCAUUACAUAUUGGGGAAAAUUGAAAUGUUUACUGAAUUUAUUUUUUUACCUA